CGCUGAAAAGUGGGGUUGUAGUACAGUAGAGACAAAUAUUUACAUAUAAAAAAAUAACUGAAAAAAUCUAGGUUAAUAUUAAAUUCACACAACACAUCAACGAACAAAAUUUUAGGUGAAACUAGGCGCGGAGUAUUUCUGACUAUUAGUAUAUUAGCUUCGAUGCGAAGCUGAGAAGAUUUUUUUUUAAAUCGGACCAUUUCCCUUAAUACAGUGAAACAGACAUCAAAGGGUAAUUUCUUUAAUAAAUUAUAUCAUUUGUGAUCUUUUGACAUAUCGUUAGAAGAAAUCAGGUUGUACAAGUCUGAAAAAAAGAGCGACAGACAUAAAAAAAUACCUUCUCAGCUUUGCAUCGAAGUUAAAGAAUAUAUAUAUAUAUAUAUUUGUGUAAAUGUUAAACUAAAAAAAACAAAAUUAUCAAAUUUUAUCAUAAGUGAAUAAGCCUAAAAAUAACACUCAAAUAAA